rnacentral:sRNA from 1 species
AUUUCAGGUUAAAUUACAUUUCUGACCAGGCCAAACUAAACAAUAAGGAUUUGUGACCCCCAUUAGUCAUUCGCAUUAAAUCCUGAAUAAAUAGCUCAAAUUCUUAUGAAAUUUAAUGCACUUCAAAUAUCUUGCAUAAAAAUAGCCAAUGGUUCAAGUUGGAUACUAAUCACCGAAAUAUAUUAAUCUGAAUCGGUCCUGACACUAACAAGUGCCGUUACAUUCCAUGCAAUUCCGUGAGGACUUUGGAUUAUACAGGUGACAGUCCAUAUACUAUAAUAGCUCCCAGAUUGCUGCCUAAAUCUCAAAAGAUACACCUGUUUACAUAUAAGAAGGUAUCAAGGAACAAGCGGCGUGAAUUGUUGAAACAUUAUAAUAAUUAGUUAAAUAUCA